rnacentral:rRNA from 1 species
GAUGAACGCUAGCUACAGGCUUAACACAUGCAAGUCGAGGGGCAGCAUGACUGAAGCUUGCUUCAGUUGAUGGCGACCGGCGUACGGGUGCGUAACGCGUAUCCAACCUGCCCUCUACUCCGGAACAGCCCGUCGAAAGGCGGAUUAAUGCCGGAUGGUGUCCACUUGGUGCAUGCCAUGGUGGACUAAAGGUAACGGUAGAGGAUGGGGAUGCGACUGAUUAGGUAGACGGCGGGGUAACGGCCCACCGUGCCGACGAUCAGUAGGGGUUCUGAGAGGAAGGUCCCCCACACUGGAACUGAGACACGGUCCAGACUCCUACGGGAGCAGCAGUGAGGAAUAUUGGUCAAUGGACGGAAGUCUGAACCAGCCAAGUAGCGUGCAGGAUGACGGCCCUAUGGGUUGUAAACUGCUUUUAUAAGGGAAUAAAGUGAGCUACGUGUAGCUUUUUGCAUGUACCUUAUGAAUAAGGACCGGCUAAUUCCGUGCCAGCAGCCGACGG